rnacentral:rRNA from 1 species
AUUGAACGCUGGCGGAAUGCCUUUACACAUGCAAGUCGCCGGUAGAGGGGGCACUGCCCUUGAGAGUGGCGAACGGGUGAGUAAUAUAUCGGAACGUGCCCAGUCGUGGGGGAUAACGUAGUGAAAAUUACGCUAAUACCGCAUACGAUCUAAGGAUGAAAGCGGGGGAUCGCAAGACCUCGCGCGAUUGGAGCGGCCGAUAUCAGAUUAGGUAGUUGGUAGGGUAAAGGCCUACCAAGCCAACGAUCUGUAGCUGGUCUGAGAGGACGACCAGCCACACUGGAACUGAGACACGGUCCAGACUCCUACGGGAGGCAGCAGUGGGGAAUUUUGGACAAUGGGCGAAAGCCUGAUCCAGCCAUUCCGCGUGCAGGAUGAAGGCCCUCGGGUUGUAAACUGCUUUUGUACAGAACGAAAAGGUCUCUAUUAAUACUAGGGGCUCAUGACGGUACUGUAAGAAUAAGC